rnacentral:rRNA from 1 species
CCCUUAGAUGUCCUGGGCCGCACGCGCGCUACACUGAUGCAUGCAACGAGUUUAUAACCUUGGCCUGAAAGGUCUGGGUAAUCUUUUGAACGUGCAUCGUGAUAGGGAUAGAUUAUUGUAAUUGUUAAUCUUGAACGAGGAAUUCCUAGUAAACGCGAGUCAUCAGCUCGCAUUGAUUACGUCCCUGCCCUUUGUACACACCGCCCGUCGCACCUACCGAUUGAAUGGUUCGGUGAAGAUCUCGGACUUCGAUAUUUAUUCUUUAUUGAGUUUAUAUUGUGGGAAGUUAUCUAAACCUCAUCAUUUAGAGGAAGGUGAAGUCGUAACA